GGUUUCCGCCCAGUCUCUGGGGACGCGGUGGCGGGGUCUGAAUCGCCUGGCUUCCAGGGAGUUUUGGGCGGGUCCCCGCACGGGAGCGUGGCAGGCGCUGGACUCGACAGCAGAUGUGGAACUGGAGAGCUUGGCGCGCCCUCAUACUUUGUCACACACCUACGCCACCAGACUGGGGUCGGGCCCCUCCGCGUUCUGCUCUGGAGGGCCUGGGUCUGGGCCCAGCAUAGCGCUUUUAGAAUCUCCUCAGCUGAAUCUGACGCUCAGCCGUAGGUGAAGCUUAGCCCGCUGUUUCAGGCCCCGCCGAUCUGGAAGGAGUGUCAGAGCUGGAGCGCGCGUGGCCUCAUCGGUGUUGGGGUCACCCCGGGGUUGCCAGGGCUCAUGGAGGGUCGUAGUCUGGAUUUUGUCACCCCCACGUCCCCGCCCCGCAGCAAGUCUGGGGUUGGAGAACUCACGCGGUCUUCGUAAGCUACAUGCCAGUUGACCCUCGAGGAGGGAUGCUCCCUCCCCUUAAGCGUCCACGCUGGAGAAGGAGUAAGAUGGACAAUUGCCUGGGGAGCCUGACAGGGCGGUGGCAGCUGGGAUGCUGGAGAGGACUGGCCCCUUGUGUUACUGAGUCCAAGGAAUAUGCUUGCUCUGCUCUAGGAACCGCGUUCAGGUUACAGUCAUCCCAGUAGAGUCCUGAAGAUGCGUGGUUCAGGUCACUUAGGACUUGACCAGAUACCGGGUUUCUUUUACAAGCCGUUUACUACUGGCAGAGCUCAUCUAAAACUUUUUUUGUUUGUUUGUUUGAGACGGAGUCUCAUUCUGUCGCCCAGGCUGGAGUGCAGUGGCACGAUUUUGGCUCACUGCAACCUCCGCUUCCCGGGUUCAAGCAGUUCUCUGCCUCAGCCUCCCGAGUAGCUGGGAUUACAGGCACCACCUAAUUAGCCCGCCACCACGCCCGGCUAAUUUUUGUAUUUUUAGUAGAGACGGGGUUUCACCAUCUUGGCUAGGCUGGUCUUGAACUCCUGACCUCGUGAUCCACCCGCCUCGGCCUCCCAGAGUGCUGGGAUUACAGGCGUGAGCCACCGCACCUGGCCUAAAACUGAUUUUUUAUUAAUUUUGGGGCUUUUAAUAUUUUUUUCUUAUUUCUAAAUUCUGAGGUUAUUUAUAGUAGCCCCAUAUACGGGAUUAGAUAAUCUCUUGUGAUUUUCUAUUUCUGGUAAUUAUUUCUAAUAUAUGUUUUUUUGUUUUUGAGACGGAGUCUCGCUAUGUCGCUCAGGGUGGAGUGCAGUGGCAUGAUCUCCGCUCUUUGUAGCCUCUGCCUCCCGGGUUCAAAUGAUCCUCCCACCUCAGCCCCCCGAGUAGCUUGGACCACAGGUGCAUGCCACCACGCCGGCUAAUUUUUCUAUUUUUGGUAGAGUUGGGGUUUCACUAUGUUGACCAGACUGGUCUAGAUCUCAAGGGAUUAGUCUCCCUUGGCCUCCCAAAAUGCUGGGAUAAUGGGCAUGAGCCACCGUGCGUGGCCUUAAAGUUACUAUUCUUAAAGUUUGCACAAGUGAUAUGUUAAAGGCACAGACUUAGUAAUAUAAUGUCAUUAUAAUAAUAACCCUAAAACACAUUGUCUCAUAUUGUGUUGUACCUAAACAAGUGAAAUUAAGAAGAAAAUUGAAGGAAAUGUUUCUGGUAAAUUGCAGAUAGUGAAUCUUUUGUCUUAUACUAUCAAAUAGGUAUUGACUAUUCCAGCUUUCUUAUUUGUUGAGGAAGAUGGCAGAAAUCCCGUUUUACAGAGGGAUAGACUUUGAAGGAUAAUACCCAAAGCUGCAUAGCUGUGGCUGGUAUAGGCCCCAAACCUGAUGUUUCUUCUCUAAAUCUACUGCCUUUGCCAUCUCAACAGCCUGGUUUUUGACAGUUAUCUAUGUAUGAGUUGCAUAAAUCGUUCAUUCAUGGAGCAAAUAAUUAUUGAGUGGCCACUAUGCCAACAGCACUGCUAUAGAUGCUAGAGAUACCCUAGUGAACCAGCAAAGUUUCUGCUCUCAGCUCAUAUUCUGGUGGAGGAGACAACGAUCAAGUUAAAGAAAUACAUAGGCUAAUUUUAGAGAUUAUGACAUGCUAUAUUUUAAAAAUAGGCAAGCUAAGAGGAUAGGCAGUGAUGCUGGGAGGUGGGAAAGUUUUGUCUCAGAAAUGUGGUAAGAGAUUUCUUUGGGCAUCUGACUUCAGCAGAAACCUUAAUGAAGAGAGGAACUUGGAAUGUAAAAGAAAGAAAGCAGGGAUUUGCUCUGAGCAACUGGAAAGAUGGAAUUGCCAUUCGCUGAGUUGAAAUAAAGUAAAAUGUAGGACUAGGUUUUGGGGUUAAGAUUAUGAAUUCGGCUUUAGACAUUUUUAGAUUUCUCUUAGACAUCCAAAUGGAGAGAAGAUAUUUAAAUCCAUGGGAUUGAAUGAGAUCCAACCAAGGGUAUUGUAGGUAGAGAGAGGACCAAAGACUGACACCUAGAACCUUUCAGUGUUCAGAAUGCAAGGAGACAGGAGGAACCAAGAGGGAAGAUUGAAAAGGAGAGUCCAGCUGGGAGCUGUGGCUACACCUUUACUAAUCCCAGCACUUUGGGAGACCAAAUACAGGAAGAUCACUUGAAUCCAGGAGUUUGUAGAACAGCCUUAGCAACAUAGCAAGACCCUGUCUCUACAAAAAUAAAAAUUAAAAAAUUUGCCUGUAAUCCGAGCAUUUUGGAGGCCGAGGUGGGUGGAUCAGCUGAGGUCAGGAGUUUGAGACCAACUUGGCCAACACAGUGAAACCCCGUCUCUACUAAAAAUACAAAAAUUAGCUGGGCGUGAUGGCUGGCACCUGUAAUCCCAGCUACUCGGGAGGCCGAGGCAGGAGAAUCCCUUGAACCUAGGAGGCAGAGGUUGCAGUGAGCCGAGAUCACGCCACUGCACUCCAGCCUGGGAGACAGAGCGAGACUCCAUCUCAAAAUAAAUAAAUAAAUAAAAAUUUAAAAAGUUAGCUGGGCGUGGUGGCAUGUACCUGUAGUCCCAGUUACUCAGAAGGCUGAGGUGGGAGGAUCCUGUGAGCCUAGGAGUUGGAAACUUCAGUAAGCUAUAAUCAUCACACUGCACUCCAACCUAGGCAACAGAGCAAGACCCUGUCUCUUAAAAGGAAAGGAGAGUCCAGUGUGUUCUAAGGAAAACCCCAAGAGCAUCCCACCUUAGAAUACAAGUGAGGAGGCCUGGCAUGGUGUCUCAUGCCUGUAAUCCCAGCACUUUGGGAGGCCAAGGUGGGUGGAUCACUUGAGGUCAGGAGUUCUAGACCAGCCUGACAAACAUGGCGAAACCUCCGUCUCUAUAAAAAUACAAAAAUUAGCCAGGUGUGGUAGCGCGUGCCUGUAAUCCCAGCUACUAGGGAGGCUGAGGCAGGAGAACUGCUUGAACUCAGGGGGCAGAGUUUGCAGUGAGCCGAGAUAGUGCCACUGCACUCCAGCCUGAGCAACAGAGUGAGACUCUGUCUCAAAAACAAACAAGUAAACAAACAAAAAAAAAAACAAGACAAGUGAAGAAUGUGUUUCAUGGAAAAAGAGGUAAUUAAUUCUGUCAAGUGUUGCAAAUUGGUCAAAUAAAGAAUGAAAAUCAACCUUUCACAGCAAAUAGAAGGAAAAAAUAUUUUUAUUUAAAUGCUUAUAAAGGCAGUUGCUAGAAAAAAUGUUUACUUUUUGCAGAGGCCCCGUUUUUACAACCUUUUUCAGGGGUAAUUUGAUAUGAUAAUAUCUACGGGAAAAAAAAUGUUUUUUUUUUUGAGUCGCUCUGUCACCAGGCUGGAGUGCAGUGGCAUGAUCUCGGCUCACUGAAACCUCCGCCUCCCAGGUUCAAGCAAUUCUUCUGCCUCAGCCUCCCAAGUAGCUGGGACUACAGGUGGGCGCCACCACACCCAGCUAAUUUUUGUAUUUUUAGUAGAGACGGGGUUUCACCAUGUUGGCCAGGAUGGUCUCAAUCUUGACCUCGUGAUCUGCCUUCCUUGGCCUCCCAAAGUGCUGGGAUUGGUACAGGUGUGAACCACCAUACCUGGCCCGAAAAUUUUAAAUUUGUAUUUUCUUUGACAUUGUAAUUCCACUUCCAGGAUUUUUUUUUUUUGGACAGGAUUUUACUCUGUCACCCAGGCUGGAGUGCAGUAACACAAUCAGCUCACUGCAACCCUGAACUCCUGGGCUAAAGUGAUCCUUCUGAGUAGUUGGGACUAUAGGCACAUGCCACCACCCCUGAUUAAUUAAAAAAUUUUCCUGUAGAGAUAGUCUUGCUAUGUUGCCCAGACUGGUCUCCAGCUCCUGGCCUCAAACCAUCCUCCCACCUUGACCUUCCAAAACGUUGGGAUUACAGGCGUGAGCCACCUCUCCCAGUUUAGGAAUUUAUCUUAAAGUAAUAUUUACAUAUAAAGAAAGAUGUAUAGGCUGGGUGCAGUGGUUCACGCCUGUAAUCCCAGCACUUUGGAAGGCCGAGGCUGGUGGAUCAACUGAGGUCAGGAGUUCAAGACCAACCUGGCUAACAUGGCGAAACCCCAUCUCUACUAAAAAUACAAAAAUUAGCUGGGCGUGGUGGCCAGCCCCUGUAAUCCCAGCUACUCGGGAGGCUGAGGCAGGAGGAUAGCUUAAACCCAGGAGACGAAGGUUGCAGUGAGCCAAGAUUACACCAUUGCACUCCAGCCUGAGCAACAAAAGCGAAACUCCAUCUCAAAAAAACAAAAACUAAAACUAAACAAAACAAAAAAACCAUGUGUAAAACUGUUAAUCACAACACUGAUUUCAAUAGCAAAAAACAAAAUUUCUGUCAGGAUGGAUGCAGUUGUUAAAGGAACAGCAGAUACAUAUGUAUAGACAUGUAAGAUAGCUUUCAUACUUUUUUUUUUGAGAUGGAAUUUCGUUCUUGUCACCCAGGCUGGAAUGCAAUGGUGAGAUCUAGGCUCCGCUUCUCAGGUUCAAGUGAUUCUCCUGCCUCAGCCUCCUGAGUAAGCUGGGAAUACAGGCGCCCGCCACCACGCCCAGGUAAUUUUUGUAUGUUUAGUAGAGACAGGGUUUCGCCAUAUUGGCGAGGCUUGUCUCAAACUCCUGACCUCAGGUGAUCCACCCACCUCCAAAAGUGUUGGGAUUACAGGCAUCACCCACCACGCGUGACCAGCUUUUAUACAUUUUUAAAUGAUAAAGACAGGUUAAUAAAAUGUAUAAUAUUAUGUUGCUAUAUCCAAAAAAAGGCCUUCUUUGAUUACACUAUCAAAAGUUACCUCUCCAUCUACAUCCCCAUUACUAUCUCAUUAACCUGUUUUAUUCAUAGCACUUACUACCAUCUAAAAUGACUUUAUUUCUUUAUAUUUUUGUUUGCUACCUGUCUUUUACACCAGAAUUUAAUUUUUAAGCUUUUUUUGUUUGUUUGUUUGUUUGUUUUGAGAUGGAGUCUUGCUCUGUUGCCCAGACUGGAGUGCAGUGGUGCGAUCUCAGCUCACUGCAACCUCUGCCUCCUGGGUUCAAUCAAUCCUCCUGCCUCAGCCUCCCAAGUAGCUGGGAUUACAGGCAUGUGCCACCAUGCCCAGCUAAUUUUUGCAUUUUUAGUACAGCAGGGUUUCACCAUGUUGGUCAAGCUGGUCUCAAACUCCUGACCUCAGGAGAUCCGUCAGCCUUGGCCUCCCAAAGUGUUGGGAUUACAGGCGUGAGCCACAGCACCCAGCCAGAAUUUAAACUUUAUAAGAGAUUUCCUGUCUUGUUCAUACUUAUAUACCUGCAGCUUCGAAACAUAUAUAUAUGUUUAAUAUAUAUAAUAGAUAUAUUUUAAAUUAUAUAUAGAGAGAUGGAGUUUCACUCUUGUUGCCCAGACUGGAGUGCAAUGGCGUGAUCUCGGCUCACCACAACCUCUGCCCCCCGGGUUCAAGCAAUUCUCCUGCCUCAGCCUCCAGAGUAGUUGGAAUUACAGGCACGUGCCACCAUGCCUGGCUAAUUUUGUAUUUUUAGUAGAGACAGAGUUUCUCCAUGUUGGUCAGGCUGGUCUCGAGCUCUUGACCUCAGGUAGUCUGCCUGCCUCGGCCUCACAAAGUGCUGGGAUUACAAGCAUGAGUCACUGUGCCCUGCCAGAAUUUAAGCUUUAUAAGAGAUUUCCUGUCUGUUUAUACUUAAAUACCUGCAGCUUGGAAACAUAUAUAUGUUUAUAUGUAUAUAUUACAUACAUUAUAUAUAUAUUUUUAUAUAUUAUAAUUAUAAACUCCUGACCUCAGGUGAUCCACCUGCCUCAGUCUCUCAAAUGCUGGGAUUACAGGCGUGAGCCACCACGCCAGGCCAGAAACAUAUUUUUAAAAAUCUUGUUUUAGAGGAAAAACAGAGUAUUUCUUUUUUUUUUUUUAUUAGAUGGAUUCUCACUCUAUUGCCCAGGCUGGAGUACAGUGGCACAAUCUUGGCUCACCGCAACCUCAGCCUCCCGGGUUCAAGCAAUUCUCCUGCCUCAGCCUCCCGAGUAGUUGGAACUAUAGGCGUGAGCCACCAUGCCCUGCUAAUUUUUGUAUUUUUAGUGCAGAUGGGGUUUCACUAUGUUGGCCAGGCUGGUCUCGAACUCCUGACCUUGUGAUCUGCCCACCUCGGCCUCCCAAAGUGCUGGGAUUACAGGUGUGAGCCACUGCGCCCGGCCUAUUUCUUCUUCUCUUUGUUUAGUUAUUAUCUAUUACUCUCAUUCCUAUGAACAUAACUUGUUUCUCCCCACUUAAUUUUUAUCAUACAUAAUUGUAGACAGUGGGCACUGUCUUCAAUUAUAGUGAAUUUAGCAGUAAAUUCACAUUAGACCAACUUGUAUAGCUUUAAAAAAUAUAUUUAUGUCUAGGUUCCACCCUUGACCAACUAAGUCAGAACUUGGGUGGGUUCAAGGUUCAUUAUUCUUUGAAGAUAAGAUGAUGUUUGAAUAAAAUUCCUGGUGAUUCUGGUAUCAAAAAUACAAAUUUGGGACAUACUUUUUCUGCUGUAAAAAUAUUUUCCUAAGGCCAGGCGCAGUGGCUCACGCCUGUAAUCCUAGCACUUUGGGAGACGGAGGCGGCGGAUCACUUGAGGCCAGGAGUUCAAGACCAGUCUGGCCAACAUGGUGAAACCCAGUCUCUACUAAAAAUAGAAAAAAUUAGCCAGGCAUGGUGGCACGUGCCUGUAGUCCCAGCUACUCAAGAGGCUGAGGCAGGAGAAUCCUUUGAACCCGGGAGGCAGAGGUUGCAGUGAGCCGAUAUUGCAGCACUGCACUCCAGCCUGGGUGACAGAUCAAAACUCUGUCUCAGAAAAAAAAAAAAAAAAAAAAAGAAUUUCCUAGAAUUAGAAUCGCAGGGGUUUUUUUUGUUUUGUUUGUUUGUUUGUUUGUUUGUUUUUGAGACAGAGUUUCACUCCUGUCGCCCAGGCUGGAGUGCAAUGCCAUGAUCUCGGCUCAUUGCAACCUCUGCCUCCUGAGUUCAAGCAAUCCUCCUGCCUCAGCCUCCCGAAUAGCUGGGAUUACAGGCACCUGCCACCAUGCCCAGCUAAUUUUUGUAUUUUUAGUAGAGACUGGGUUUUACCAUGUUGGCCAAGCUGGUCUCGAACUCCUGACGUCAGGUGAUCCACCCAGCUCAUUCUCCCAAAGUGCUGGAAUUACAAGCAUGAGCCACUGCACUCGGCCUUUAUUUAUUUAUUUAUUUUUGAGAUGAAGUCUUGCUCUGUUGCCCAAGCUGGAGUGCAAUGGCAUGAUCUCGGCUCACUGCAACCUCCACCUCCCAGGUUCAAGCAAUUCUCCUGCCUCAGCCCCCUGAGUAGCUGGGAUUACAGGCGUGCACCACCACGCCUGGCUAAUUUUUGUAUUUUUAGUAGAGACAGGGUUUCACUAUGUUGGUCAGGUUAGUCUCGAGCUCCUGACUUCGUGAUCCGCCCGCCUCAGCCUUCCAAAGUGUUGGGAUUACAGGCGUGAGCCACCGCGCCUGGCCAGAAUCCCAGUUUUUUAACACAUCUAAUGCUUUAGGAAUAGUAAAUGGAAACAUCAUUUCCCCUUCUUUCGAAGUACUUCUACCUUGAUGAGAUGUAUGUAUUGGAGUACAAUAUUUGACCUAGCCAAGAAUUUCACAAAAGAAGCCCAAAAUAUGAUUUUCACGUUUACUGGACUGUUCACUUUUGGUGGGAUCACUUUCUUAAGAUUACUUAAAGUACUAAUGCUUGAUGAAAAUCAUUUGUGUUUUCACUUCAUUAAUUGGAGAAAGAGCUACAUGUUUUUGUUGUUGUUGUUGUUGUUUUGAGAUGGUGUCUUGCUCUGUCUCCCAGGCUGGAGUGCAAUGGCGUGAUCUCAGCUCACUGCAACCUCCGCCUCCCGGGUUCAAGCGAUUCUCCUGCCUCAGCCUCCUGAGUAGCUGGGACUACAGGCGCCUGCCACCACGCCCAGCUAAUUUUUAUACUUUUAAUAGAGACAGGGUUUCACCAUAUUGGCCAGGAUGGUCUCAAUCUCUUGACCUUGUGAUCCACCCGCCUUGGCCUCCCAAAGUGCUGGGAUUACAGGCGUGAGCCACUGCGCCCAGCCAGAGCUACAGGUUUUACUGUAACACUUUAGAAGGUCCUUUUUCUUUGUACCUCUGUGAUGUGUUCACCUAGCAACAGCUUCUUUGAUAUGCAAACAUUCUACAGGCAAAUUGCUCAGAGCAGCUACUCAUGUUGGACAAUUCAGGUCUCUUCUGGAAACUGGCCUUGUAUUUGGAAUUUUCUCCAGAGUCUGAUGUGCUAAGAAAUCUUCAGAACAAACUUUUCAUAAAAGAAACUUCACUGCAAGAGUUGAAGCCUGAGCUAGAAAGUUACAAAGAAAAUAAUGUACGACAGUCGUUCCAGAUAAUGUCCCUGAAAGAUAAUAUCAAGGACCUACAGAAACUUACUGCUUCUCUAACCAGAAUUAAAUAUUUGAGAAACACCAAUAUUCAGAGGCUUCAAAGAGGCAACUGGAAUUUAACUAAAUGAAUUAUUGAGCUAGAAACUGUCUAAGGGUAAGAGUGAAGCUAUCCUGGACAAGAACUUUGACAGGACAAUACUAUUCACUCUGAAGGACCAAAAAAUGAGCAGAAAAUUUGGGAUAAAUGUCAACAAGAUUUGAACCCUAAAGAAAAGCAAGCAUCGAGUUAGACAGACGUCCAUAUUCAUUCAACUGGGAAAAUAAAACUGCAGUCCCAACAUCAGAAUUUCCUUGGUCAGUUGGUUAUUGCGGGACAGCAUUCUUCUGCAUGACAGUAUUGUCUCCUUACCAGCCACAGAGGAGGCUGUGAGAGAGAGGAUUUGGGAAAUUGGUGCAAAUGAGAAAUCUUGGAAAUCUAGAACUAAAGCCUUUCAGCAGGAAAUCCAGAUGCUCACUAAGUGACUAGAGCAGCUGCAUCAUCUUUAAGAAGAAGGUGCUCAAGAAUCAUCCCAAGCUGAAGAAAAAAGUAUUGGGAACAAAAAAGACCCUUGAAAUGUCUAGAAAGAAAAAUUGAGAUCAAGGACUUUUUCAAGAGAGAUUAGACUUGGACAGGAAGAAAAAUUUGCAGAUUGCUACUACGCAAAGAUUGGAGGAGAAAAUUCAGAAACUUCAGAGACAGCUCAGUGAUUUGAAAUUGUCAAAUAAAAAUAUGAAAACUCAGCUGACAAGAGUAAAUGUCCUUAAAGACAAAACAAUUGAAGAGCUCAGGCAAUCUUUAGCAAAUGUUGAAAGGAUGAAAGAGAAGGCAAAUGUUGAAACGAUGAAAGAGAAGGCAGUUGUGAAAACAGAAAACUUGAAAACUACAUUAGACUCUGCAGAGCAAAAGGCAAGAUCAGACAAAGAGAAGACCCAGCAGAUGUUAGAUGCUGUCACUUCUGAGCCCCCAACAGCAAAGAGCGCACCUGAAGAAGUAUCAGGACAAGAACAAGAGGCCUAUCCAGAGAUUCCAGUUCAGUUUGUGGUAUGAGGCUGAAGUAUGGAUAUUUUUUUCAAAGCUCCUUAAGUAUAUAAAUUGAUAAAAUUACUUUGGAAGACUGGCA
rnacentral:lncRNA from 1 species